rnacentral:rRNA from 1 species
GACGAACGCUGGCGGCGUGCUUAACACAUGCAAGUCGAACGGAAAGGCCCUGCUUUUGUGGGUUGCUCGAGUGGCGAACGGGUGAGAAACACGUGAGUAACCUGCCCUUGUCUUUGGGAUAACUUCAGGAAACUGGGGCGAAUACCGGAUAGGAGCUCCUGCUCCAUGGUGUGGGAUGGUAAGUUUCGGCGGUUGGGGAUGGACUCGCGGCUUAUCAGCUUGUUGGUGGGGUAGUUGCUUACCAAGGCUUUGACGGGUAGCCGGCCUGAGCGGGUGACCGGCCACCUUGGGACUGAGAUACGGCGCAGAAGCCUACGGGCGGCAGCAGUGGGGAAUAUGGCACAAUGGGCGGACGCCUGAUGCAGCAACGCCGCGUGCGGGAUGACGGCCUUCGGGUUGUAAACCGCUUUCGCAUGUGACGAAGCGUGAGUGACGGUAAUGGGUAAAGAAGCACCGGCUAACUACGUG